rnacentral:rRNA from 1 species
UACGGAGGAUGCAAGCGUUAUCCGGAUUUAUUGGGUUUAAAGGGUGCGCAGGUUGUUUGAUAAGUCAGUGGUGAAAGUCUGUCGCUUAACGGUAGGAUUGCCAUUGAUACUGUUGGACUUGAAUAUGGAUGAGGUAGGCGGAAUGUGUAGUGUAUCGGUGAAAUGCAUAGAUAUUACACAGAACACCGAUUGCGAAGGCAGCUUACUAAUCCAUCAUUGAUGCUGAGGCACGAAAGCGUGGGGAUCAAACA